CCCAAAAAAAACAUUUUGCUCCCCUUCACCUUUCUCUUCCUCUCUUCACCGUCUGGUUUCGCCGACCACCUUUCUUCACGUUACUUGCCCGCCCCGUUGUUUCUUCAGAAACGUCUCUCUUUUCACACCCAGAAAACGCCGCCCUCUCUCCUCCGAUCGACGCUUUGACCCUCUGAAUCACAAAGUGUCAACUCACUACUGGGGGUAUGUCACACUUUUUCAAAUUACUAUUCAGCUUUAUAGUCGUAAUAAAUGAAUAUGAUUUCAACAUGUUUGUUAUAUUAUAUGCCUUCCCAGAUCAUUUUGAUGCCUGAAACUUUAUCAAGUAUUUGAAAUUUGAUCUGAUUUUUCUGGGUUUUGGAAUUUUGGCGAUCUGCCUCUCCUUUUAGCUGGGUUAUAGUCAUUUUUUUUGAGAACUUUGGCAUUUUUUGUUGAUUUGGGAUCAUUGUAGAUCCAAUGUAGAUUGUGGGUAUCGUAGGAUUGUUGCUCUAUUUGAUUUUGGGUAUUUAUUUGGUGGGUUUUGUUUUGUGAUUUCCCUUAUACAUUUAAUUGAUUUGUGUGAUUUGAAUUUGCUACUUUUUUAUUUGAUUUGUGCCCCUAUGCUCUUGUUUUUGAAGAGAGGUAUUUUGUGUGUUUGUUUUGGGUUUUGUUGGUGGAUAUCCAUGUACAUUAUACACUGUGUUGUCGGGGAAACAUGUAUUGUGUUGAAGUUUUUGAGACGUUUUUUGAAUUGAUUUCUAUUACUGCUCGGCGUUUAUGGAAUACAUUGCUUGAUUGCCUGAAUCAGUGAAGUUUUUCGGGUUGAACGGUCAUGGUUUGAUACUUUGCCUUUGACCCUUGUGAAGAACAUUGCAAACAUUUAUUAGAAUUGGUGAAUAGAUAUCUGGUGGUGAAUAGGAAAAUCUUAGGUUUCUAGUUGUUCCACUGUUGCCACUUCUGUUCAGUUGAAAGGCUAUGCAUUAUACUCAAAGCUUUCAAGGAUUGAUAUGAACCUCAUUCUAUUUGGAAAUGCAGUUUUUGAAAAUGAAUAUGAUCUUAGCUUUUAUCUAGAGGGAAUUGGAACGCAGUUGUUGCUGGUCCAAGAACCAAUGGGAUAGCUAAUUAAGUGAGAGUUAUUUUAGCAUGAGAAAGUAAAACUACAUUACCAGUAUGUGAGUAUUUUAGCCGUUUUUAUUUAAGGGUGUGCAUUGUUCUCUUUGCCUUUUCCCCAAGGCCAAUCUCAUGGAGUUAGGGAUGGGGCAAGUAAUUAUGGUGUUGUUGUGCCAACAUAUUUUGAACAGAAAAGAACGCAGAAACUUCUUCUUCUCGGACUUGAGGGGUCUGGAACUAGCACAAUCAUCAAACAGGAGAGAGGUUUGAGGAAGAAGACAUGGCAAAGAUGCAGAUACAAGAAGCACAUGACGGAGAUAGUGAAUCAGUACCAGUAUAUCUGCAGUUCAAGUUUCAUAUAACAACAAGCGGGUCUGUGAAGUAAGUUCCGAUAGGAUCAGCAAAUUGCAAAUUGCCAACAAGUUCCGAUAGAACUUGUAGUUGCAUUCAGAUGUGGAGGGAAGCUGCGGAAGCUCUUGAUUGAUCUGGGAAAUUCUGGAAAGAUACUGGGAGUUCAGUUUAUGUCAAGGGCAUUUGGUUGAGAGGACAUGCAACAUGAUAAAAGAUGCGAGGCUCUGCUGUGAACCAGGUCAAAAGCCUACAGGCAGUUCAGGAGUGGCACCUGAUGCAAUGUAAUCUUUUUCACUUUUUGCCAGUAAUCGCAGUGUAAAUUAGCAGCAGAUCUGAUCAGCUUCUGAUCUGAUCAGCAGCAGAUCAGCAGCAGCAGAUCAGAUCAAAAGCUGAUCAGAUCAGCAGCAGAUCAUCAGCUGAUAUGAGUAGUCUCUGAUCUGAUCCGCUACUGAUCUGCUGCUGAUCAGAUCAGCAAUAGUAGAUCAACAACUGAUCUGAUCAAAACAUCGAAUGCUAGUUAUGAUGAUUUAUGUGAUUGUAGAAUUAACUCGAAUACCGUUACUGUUAUUGGCUUUGCCUAAAUCUAAGGAUAAGUUAGCAUAUUCCUUGAAAAGAUGAGUAUAUUUGUACGAGGCGCCAAAUGUUUUGUUCGAAGGAAAGAAAAAAGUAGAAGGGACUAGGAAGAGGGGGAUAAGAUGUGAUCCUUAGAUGUCAUAUUUUGACUAAAACAGGAGUUUUCGCUCCCAACUCUCAACUUAUGAACCAAAAUAAGAAUUCUUAGCCCUUUACAUGUUUAAAAUAAUUAGUAUUAGGUUAUCAAUCCUCAUUCUCAUCUACUUUGGUCAAUUUAUGCACAUUUAAAGCUCGUUCAAUCCUUACAUUUCAUAUUUUGAAAAAAAUAGCCGUUUUUGCUCCCAACUCUUAACUCAUGAACCAAAAUAGGAAUUAUUACCCCUUUACAUGUUUAAUAUAUUUAGUAUUAGGUUUUCAAUCCUUAUUCUCAUCUACUUUUGUAAAUUUAUGCACAUCUAAGGCUCUUUCGAUCCUUACAUGUCAUAUUUUGACUAUAAAAGUUGUUUUCGCUCCCAACUCUCAACUAAUGAACCAAAAUAGGAAUUAUUUACCCUUUACAUGUUUAAAAUACUUAGUAUUAGGUUUCCAAUCCUUAUUUUCAUCUACUUUGGUCAAUUUAUGUACAUUUAAGGCUCGUUCGAUCCUUACAUGUCAUAUUUUGACUAACAUAGCCAUUUUCGCUCCCAAGUCUCAACUAAUGAACCAAAAUAGGAAUUCUUAACCCUUUACAUGUUUAAAAUACUUAGUAUUAGGUUGCCAAUCCUCAUUCUCAUCUACUUUGGUCAAUUUAUGCACAUUUAAGGCUCGUUUGAUCGUUAUAUGUCAUAUUUUGACUAAAAUAGUUGUUUUCGCUCCCAACUCUCAACUAAUGAACCAAAAGGUUUAGAAUUUGACUAAAAUGUUUAGAAUUUGAAUAUAAGUUCGUUUGUUGAUAGUUGGGAUCGCAAAUGCCAUUUUUGGCCAUAAAUGACCUAUAUCGACCCAAAUGACCCAUAGGCGUGCAUAACGAACUUAAAGGGAGUCUUAUAAACAUAUAACUAAUCAUAUGAAUCAUGGAAAACGUUUAGAAUAUGGAAAUUGGUUCGUUUAUUGGUAGUUGGGAUCGAAAAUGCCAUUUUGGCCAUAAAUGGCCUAUAUCGACCCAAAUGACCCUUAGGCUUGCAUAACGAACUUGAAAUGAGUUUCAUAAACAUAUAAAUAAUUAUAUAAAUAAUGAAAAAGGUUUAGAAUGUGGAUAUAGGUUCGUUUGUUGGUAGUUGGGAUCGAAAAUGCCAUUUUUGGCCAUAAAUGACCUAUAUCGACCCAAAUGACCCAUAGGCGUGCAUAAUGAACUUAAAAUGAGUCUUAUAAACAUAUAAUUAAUCAUAUGAAUCAUGAAAAACGUUUAGAACAUGAAAAUAGGUUCGUUUGUUGGUAGUUGGGAUCUAAAAUGCCAUUUUUGGCCAUAAAUGGCCUAUAUCGACCCAAAUGACCCUUAGGCUUGCAUAACGAACUUGAAAUGAGUUUCAUAAACAU